AGAUAAGAAAAAGAUAAUGCUAAUUCCUGAGGAUGGGGUAGCAACAGAAGGAAUGGAGAAGCUCCACUAUGAAGUGAUUAUAGAGGCUAUAUGUAAAGAUUUCUCUUGUGACUGCUUUUGAGGAAAAAUAAAGAAGAAAUAAGGAAUAGCAAUAGUAAAAGCAAGGGCUUAUAUUCCUGCCUUUGUGGUACAGUUGAGAUGUGAUUCUUCCUCCACAGCUGGGAAAAGAAUGCUGUCAGGACAGUAUUAGGAGGAGUAACAACAGGAACAUGUAGAAAUUCCAGCUGGAGCCGGGGCUCAUUGUAGGUGUUGUUCACUGUAUCCACGGUGUCCUCCAUGAAAAGAUUUGCAGACAAACCAGAUGAGGACACAGAGUUCUGCGAGGCUGCUUGGGUUCGCCUCCACAGUACUGGGAUUUGGCCAGCCUGGCUUUCUUGGCCUCUUUGAUGUUCAUAUGCUCUGCUGGGCUUCCUGGGAUUUGCUCCUUCCUGAUUAGAACAACUAAGUACUUUCCCAAGCCCAUCAAUUCCUGGCACUACUCUGCGCCGUGAGUCACAGGAGGCUAAUUGAAUCAGUGGUGUUCAAUUCCCUCCAUCCCAGGACCUGCCCCCAGCCCCAGCAGCCAGCACUGACAUCAGGGAAUUGUGGCUGAAAGCUGCUGAUGGACCAGAUAUGUAAAGGGGGGAAAAAAAACACCACCACCAAAGGAUGUUGUGUAAGGAGUGAAACAGUGACAGGUAGGGGACAUCUGAGCAAAAGGUUACUGCAGAGGAUGGAUUAAUGCACAUUCUUAGAGAUGUUCUUUGGAAUGCUUUUUUUUUUUUUUUCAGGCUAAGGUAGAUUUCACAUCUCCCUGUUCAUAUUUCUAGAUAUUCUUUGCUAGCUAUGCCUGAGCUUGCUGUAUCUCCUGCACCUUGUCCUGUCUCCCCUUGAUUUCAACUAGACAGAAGGUUCAACCAUGCCCCUCAGCAGUGACUGCUAGCUAACACUCCCAAGAGAGAGGAGCCCUGGCACUGUGCUGGCCACUUUUUCCAGUUCCUGUGGUAGUCGAUACACUUCUCAAAGGAGAAUAGAAAGUUCCCUGGCCUGGAAACUAAACUGUACUGAGUCCUUGAGACAGGGAUCAGACCACAAGUCUCCACCUGCCAGGCAGUGCAGCAACCACAGGGGCAGGAGGUCGUGUUCCUGCUUGCAGUCUCCUCUUUCAGAGGGGAAGUACAUCUUGCAACACCUUUGAUUGCAGUUUCUGAAGUUUACAGAGGAGCCAAAACAUACAAAUGUUAUAAAACAACAACAGGAGCUGAACCUUAAGGUUUAGCUCAAGGUUUGCAUGGGAGUCACGUGUCUGGAAGGCAAACAACUUCUGAAGCGUUAUGCAGGGACGUAAACUUUUAGCACAUCUCCUCUUUCUUCUAGAAGGCCUGAUUGCAGUGUGCAGGUAGUGGCACAAUUUCCUUUUACCAAAAAGUGCAGAGGAGGAAAAAUAUGCCAGCUGCGACUGUCUGAAGAAAAGUCCCAUUGAUUUACUUGCAAAUGCAGCUGUCACUCGCUGGCUGUAGCCAGUAAAGCCAAGCAACAGGACGCGGUACUAAAACACUGCAGGGCACUUGCACUUUUCUGUGCUUGCAAAGCACCUCGCCUUGCUACAGGCCCACAGGGAUAAAACAGGACUGUAGGAAAAAGCACACCCCUGUGCCUUCCCUUAUCCAGCCAUGCUUGCUGGAGAUGCAGGGGCUCCAUCUGCUGCAGGGAAGGGGGCACCCCACUGCAGGCACAGCAUGGGGAGCUGGGUGGUACAGUGGGAUCUGACAUGGAAAGAAGUGGAAAAAAGCACCACUGAGUGCAGGCUGUGCUUUAGUAAGCUUCUGCUGAUGAAGGGUAAGGCUCAGGCUCCCAAAGGUGUGGCAAACAAUGGGUGUCCCUACAUGGCUGUGCUUUGGAUGUGUUGUAGGUACUUCAGCUCGCCCGCCCCAGCUCAGCGAUGGCCCGACAGAAAGCCCAUGGAAUAGCUGAAUGAAUAUUGUGUUAAACUGCUGCUGUGCUGCCUUCUUGUAUUUAACUUGGGAUGGCACAUGGGAUUUUUAUGUGUAAUUCUGGGGGCUUCCAAGCCCACUGACUAAGCUUGGGGUGUGGAGUAAACAUACCAACGAUAAAAGGGAAUGUUUCCUGAGUGCUAGUUUUCAGUUCUGUACAAAACAAACACGUCUUUCUUUACUAUUUCUCUAAACUCCAUUUCUGAAGUUGAUUUAGAUCUCCCUCCUUUUUUGCUCCAGUUUCAGUCUGUUGGCCACAUUCCUCACCAAGCCAGCCUAAUGCCCACAUGAGCCCCAUUAAGCUGCAUGUUUCUGUGUAUGCAGAAGUACAUGUUUUUCUGGGCUGAGUUUUGUUUGCCAAAUCUGGGCCUGUUUUCACAGAUAAUGACCCCAUUUUUUGUCUCUUUCCCAUUCUGUGCCCUUUUUCUCCGCUUGUGGUCUUUUCAAAAUGUAAUGUGACCCUCAUACAUCAUUUUUAACAGACUUAUAAACCUAGUAUAGUAUGGUUGUAUGUAAAUUCAUGCAUUUAGAGGCAGUAAGAAAAAAAAAAUCAGUUCUCUCUCAGGAACUGAGGAUACCUCUGUCAUUCAGAGUCAAGGAGUUUUUAUUUAUUUAUUUUCUAUCUGAAGCUAUUAGUUUCAACAGUGAUAUAUUUAGGGUAAAAAAUAGAAAUGUCUUCUUUUCAAGAUGUCAUCAUUCAUGCUGGCAUUUUUUGAAAGGCAAGAUUCUGACAUUCUCUCACUUUUCAUUUGGAAGCAUAUUUGUAUGUGGUGUUAUAA